UACUAAUUGAAGACAGCCAAAUGGUAAUGUAACCCCAGGCCCAAACUACAUGCGGAAUUUUAUUUAUUUAGUUAGUUACCACUCAGAAACAGUUAAAAGUCUCACUUGCAACAAGAUAAAACUUCUGCAGUUGAUACUGCAGCUCUGAGAAGCACUGAUCAAGGCAAGAAUAUCAGCAGUAAAGGAGAACAUGGUAUCUUUGCAGUGCUGACAACAACGGAUUCGGUCAUCAUCCUUCUCAUCCAGAACUGAGCUCACACUGCUUAUGCUGCUAAUGCUGCCACGGCGGGAGCCAUGGACACUAUUAGGUGAGGAGUUUGGGCUAGUAUGAGAACCCAAGGACUCUUUGCUGGCACUAGCCAGUUUGCCUAGAAAUUAUAGACAGGUGAUUUUACAGUGACUGGAGAAGCCAACAGAUUCUACCAAUAUGAAUGAAUUGCACUUGAACAGAAACUUUACAUUCAGGUAAUAAUAGAAAACCAAGCUGAAACAGUCUGCUGAAAGACAUGCAAGGAACCCAUGACAACCAAGACUGCAAGUCAGAAUUUGGGUCUUCACUGUAAGUCCUGCUCCAUUCUAAAAGCAGCUAGAGAGCAGACUGCUGAGAACCACCUACUUUGCUUCUGCCUAGAGGCAUUCUCAUGUUGGGAGCUUGUAUAGUUGUAGAACAAUGUGUGGAAGAACAGGUAUGUUAAUGCUGUCCAUGUUUUGUGCUUGAACACUCCAAAAAGCCCACUUAAUGUAAUUUAUUUCCACAGAAAAUACAGUCUCCUCUCCAAUGCACUAGAUGAGAAAAUUAAAGUUCUAAGGUUUCUUAAA